rnacentral:rRNA from 1 species
AUGAACGCUGGCGGCGUGCCUCAUACAUGCCAGUCGAGCGCACAGAUGAGGAGCUUGCUCCUCUGACGUUAGCGGCGGACGGGUGAGUAACACGUGGAUAACCUACCUAUAAGACUGGGAUAACUUCGGGAAACCGGAGCUAAUACCGGAUAAUAUAUUGAACCGCAUGGUUCAAUAGUGAAAGACGGUUUUGCUGUCACUUAUAGAUGGAUCCGCGCCGCAUUAGCUAGUUGGUAAGGUAACGGCUUACCAAGGCAACGAUGCGUAACCGACCUGAGAGGGUGAUCGGCCACACUGGAACUGAGACACGGUCCAGACUCCUACGGGAGGCAGCAGUAGGGAAUCUUCCGCAAUGGGCGAAAGCCUGACGGAGCAACGCCGCGUGAGUGAUGAAGGUCUUCGGAUCGUAAAACUCUGUUAUUAGGGAAGAACAAAUGUGUAAGUAACUAUGCACGUCUUGACGGUACCUAAUCAGAAAGCCACGGCUAACUACGUG